CGCAUCGCCGGGUAGCUAUGUUCGGAAGGGAUAACCGCUGAAAGCAUCUAAGCGGGAAGCCUACCUCAAGAUAAGAUUUCCCCGAGGCUUUAUGCCUCCUAAAGAGCCGUUGAAGACUACGACGUUGAUAGGUUGGAUGUGGAAGCAUAGCGAUAUGUGAAGCUGACCAAUACUAAUUGCUCGUGAGGCUUGACUAU
rfam:Acinetobacter towneri strain 5-2Ac02 Scaffold28.1_new, whole genome shotgun sequence.